rnacentral:lncRNA from 1 species
GAAGAGCAAUAUGCUGGAAAAGUUUUAAACAUCAUACUAUAGCCAAUUCUAUUUAUGAGGUAAAGUACAUUAUGGUAUUUGAUGCUAUAAAGGAAGUAGUUUGAUUGUAAAAGUUCAUUAAUGAGUAAUAGAGUGGCACCCUUCAUUAAUAGUCUAGUGCUGCGUAUUGUGAUAGCAUUGGAGUCAUAGCAUAGGAUAAUGAAUAGUAGUCUCACCAG